CCUGUUACUGACCUACAAAUCCCAGCAUCCCUUGUCAGACCUGCAGCCUGUACUGGUCCUUUUACUGUGAUAUCAUGAUGUUGAGAGGUUGCAUUUCAGCAGUGACUGGGCCUCAUAUUAUAAUAGAGGGAAGAAUGGAUGAUGCCUAUACUGGGAAAUGCUGCAACCUGUUUAAUUUUAUUUCAUUUAAAGGGGAACAUUGCUUUAAUGCUGUUGAUGCAAAAGGAAAAACUGAUGCUAAAUUUUGUUUUUUGCCAAUGGAUAUCAGAUUUCAGAAUUUAUGGUCAGAAUAAAAAUAACAGAUAAAACAGAUAAACAAUAUAUAUAAGUUUAGGGUUUGUUUUUGGUACAAUGGGAGAAUUGGUUGAGGGUGUGAAUACUUAAUAUAUAAUAUAUAAGGCAGUGAAUCCUGAUAGCAGAGAGGGCUGGUGCAUGUGAGCUCACAAUCUCUUCUUUCUUUCUGUGUCCCCACAGCGUUUUCGAAGCGGUUUUCCGAGUGAUUUUCCGAGUGAUUUCACAGCGAUUGUUUUAAAGAGAUAUUCAGUGAUAUUCCAUCUGAUUUUUGCCGUUUGGAAAAAACAUCUUCCUUUGACGUCAGCUGAUAUCGUCUUUUUAACCGAACAGCUCUUUUAAGAGCUAAAAAAACGUUGGCGCAAUGACAUUCUGCGCCCCCUGGAGGAAGGUAAGGCAACUGCUACUGUUUUUUCUGAAUUUAAGGUUUUGCUGUAUAGAGAACAGAUACAGAUAAAGUAUAGAAUGUAAUAGAAUCUUUCUCUUCUCCUUCAGCCACAGGUGGAAUCCAGAUCCCUCUCUGAGAUUUAUAAGGUGAGUAGAAAGGGUAAAACAUGUCACCGGAAGUGAGACAUGUUUUAUUCCCUGGGGAAUAAUAUGUUAUCAAUAAAAUCCUUCUUUUUUCUACUUUAUUUUCCAGCCUCCUGAUGGUCAGCUGACCAAGGAUGUGCUUCUUGGAGACGGCGGCACCGGAGACGUCUACAAGGUAAGGGACCAACCAAUUCCUAGAGAGUAGAGGAACUGAACAAAAUUGUGAUCACUACACUCAAUCAUACAAUGAUUUAGGCAGAGAUAUCAAGCUUCACUAACCCAAUUCUUUCCUACUUGUAUAUAAGUCAACCUUUCUGUCUGUAUUACAGGGACGACACCAUCGUAAAGGCGUGGUAGCGGUGAAGAUAACCAACAUCAGCCGAGUACUGUAUCUUUAUAAUUCCAAUUACUAUAUAUCAAUCAUAUUUGUGUAGUUGCCUAUGUGAGCUAAAGGGAUUUCUAUUAUUCCACUCCAGGAUGAAGAGUCAGUCUGCAAGGAGCUGAAGUUUCUCAAGCAGUUUGGCGGCCACAAGAACAUCGCCUCUUACUAUGGAGCCUACUAUAGGGCUCCACUCACGGAGUGCUCAUCGGAGCUCUUGGAAGUAAGAAAUGAUUUACUGUAUCGUGUUUAUUCCUCAUGUACCAAAGGAAUCUCCACUGGAAGUGAUAGAAUGCAUGACCUUAAAUAAUUUCUAUAUAUUGCAGAUUGUUCUCGAGUACUGUGGUGGAGGCUCUUUCUACAACCUCAUCAGCAAGACCAAUGGCCAUUCCCUGAAGGAGACCUGGAUUGGCUAUGUCUGCAAGGAGGUUUUAAAGGGGUUGCACCACAUCCACAAGAACCAGCCAUUCAUAGAGACAUCAAGAGCCUGAACAUCAUGCUCACAGAGACGGCCAAAGUGAAGAUCAGUGAGUAAAACUUACACUUAUAAGAGUAAUGGAUGGUGGGGAGCGUCUGUGAUUAUGGAGUCAGGGGGUUUCAUAAUUUAGGUUUCUAUCCUUUUGUGGUUAAACAAGUUAUUUUCCAUUAAUAGAUUCUAUCUGUCAUUUCAGUCGACUUUGGAAACAGUUUUGACCUGGACCCGCAGACUGGAUUGUGCCACGAAGCGGAAGGGACUCCCCAUUGGAUAAGGCAGAAGGGCCAGCGACUGGCAUACGACACCAAAGUAUGUUGUACUUAUAAUACUUGUAACAACACGGAGCAUUUACUUAUCAGUGUUAAUGGGACAUAGAAGCAGUCAUUUUCUCAUGGAGAGAAAGGAGUUUUUCGGAAACAUUGGGUUUCUUAAUUUUUGCACAAUGUGUCUGCUUUAAUAUAUUCGCUCAUUUGCAUUGUGACGCUAGUGUUAUGUACUGUAACUGCUAUUGUUUGUAAUGGAGACAUAUAUUGCUGUAUACACGUUUAUAAAUAAUAAAGCAUUUUUUCACUUUUACAUAUAUCAUGAUGUGUUUAUUUACUAGGGUGUGAAUUGGGCUAUUUUAGAAGUUGUAUUUUGUUCUGUUUUGCCCAUAAUUGAGCUAAGGAGAAUGGUGUGUACAUUUGCACCCAUGAUAAUAUAUGAAUAUGUUUCUAAAAGAGAAUUGUGUAGCAUUUUUACUUAGAUUUUAUUAAACACCCACUAACCCAAUUCCUUCUAAUGCUCUUUGGUGUGUCUUUUGCAGUGUGACAUCUGGUCGCUGGGAAUAACCGCCAUCGAAAUGGCCGAGGGAAAAGCACCAUAUGCAGAUCAAUACCCGGUGUUGCACCUGAUAAGAGAAGCCCAACCACCGAAGCUUCGAUCAAAUAGAUGGUCACAACAUUUUGUGUCCUUCUUGGAGUACUGUCUGAAGAAGGAUCCUUCGGAGAGAGGGAGUGCUGAAGAACUCCUGCAGCACCCAUUCGUCACCCAACUGCCACCUAAGAAAAUAAUCAGGGCUGUGAUUGAAAAACAUCUCCGGACUCUGCCGAACGGGCCGGCCAAGGGAAUCCAUUAUAUUUGAUACCACUGCACCAUCACACAGUGUAACUCAACAGCUGCAAGAGUUGGUUUUAUUAAAAUGGCACUCGGAAUACUAUACAUGUUUUAAGGGGUACUUUAGCUUAAUAUUAUAUUUUAGUAUAAUGGUGACAAUGGCGUUCUAAGACAAUUGCAUUUGGUCUUCAGUCUUUAUUUUUUUGUUUAUGAAUCAUAUACAAGCUCUAAUUAGUAUUCAUGAAUCACAAAUAUGAUUUUUCCAUAUACAGGACUGAAGGGAGUAGCUCUCUGGACCCUGCGGCGUGCUUGUGACUUCUGCACACAGACAUCGGCAGAACAAGAAGCAGCUCUGCAAAUGGCCCUGGAGGGCUUCUCCUGUUAUUAAUCGUGUGGCCAAUAACAUCAACAGGCCAGAAUGAGUUUCCUGAAUCACAGCUGAGGAAAAAGAAACAUCCACAGAUCCAGUGGCUCCACCAGCAACAUCUCCUUUCAAGCUGAUGCAGUUCAGCAAGUGGUAACUUCAAGAUUCCUGUAACUACACCAGCAGGGAAUUUAUCUCCUUCUGUAGCUCCAUGAUCAUAUUCUUUUUAGACUACCACAUCUCCACCAGUGGUGUCUUUGUUUUAGUUUACAUCACUCCACCCACACACAUCUCCACCUCACUUUCCAACUGCCAUAGUUCCAUCCAUCUUCCUUUUCUUGCAGACAACUGUAACUCCAACAUCUUGCCUUAAGCAUCUACUAUUCACAGAACCAUAGCUCCAACAUUUAUAUCCACCUCUACAGCUCCACUAGCAGCAUUUACAUUUUCAAACACCAUAGCUCCACUAUUAGGACCUUAGUUUUCAGUAGUAUCCAAUUACCACAUUUCCACCCAAGGACUUUUCAUUUAACUUUAGCUCCACCACCAGCCCUUAUCCCAUAUUUUACCUCUACCCGCAAGCUCUGUCCUUGUGCUAACACACCUCCACCAUUAUCUUCUUUUAUUUACAUAUCAUCAAGAGUUUCUCCUCUUUAAAAUAUCUUUUAAUCCUUGCCCUUCUUCCUGCACCUCCAUUGGUUCUUCUAUUCCACCAAUACCAAGACAUUUAGUCACCACCACACACUAAAAUGAAGCCCCCUACACAAAGGCUUCUCUUCUCCACUUUUUUCUUUUGCCUCUCCCCCCUGCAAUCUCCUAACACUAAUUCCUCAGUGGUUUCUCCUGUUCAAAUUCUUUCCUUUCUAAAUUCUAUCCUUUCAAGCCAUCCACUCAACAACCAGUCACAUCUCCUACUCUAAACCCUGACAUAAACUCUUAGUACUGAUACUGACAUAAACUCUUAGUUGAUCCAGGGACUUGUCCGAUUGCCCUUUGGGAGUCAGGAAGGAAUUUUUCCCCCUCUGAGGCGAAUUGGCUCUGGCUUCAGAUGGGGUUUUUUGCCUUCCUCUGGAUCAACUACUAAAUAGGAAGAUCCCUUUUACACUAAAACUUGAACCUAAUGGACGUGAGUCCUUCCCAACUUAAAUUAGUAUGAAUUAAUCCAAAAUGCAUAAAUAUAACAUCCAAUUUAUAAAUAAAUAUGUUAAUACACA